rnacentral:rRNA from 1 species
GCAACGCGCAGAACCUUACCAACCCUUGACAUCCCUAUCGCGGUUACCAGAGAUGGUUUCCUUCAGCUCGGCUGGAUAGGUGACAGGUGCUGCAUGGCUGUCGUCAGCUCGUGUCGUGAGAUGUUCGGUUAAGUCCGGCAACGAGCGCAACCCACAUCCUUAGUUGCCAGCAGUUCGGCUGGGCACUCUAGGGAAACUGCCCGUGAUAAGCGGGAGGAAGGUGUGGAUGACGUCAAGUCCUCAUGGCCCUUACGGGUUGGGCUACACACGUGCUACAAUGGCAUCUACAGUGGGCAGCUAUCACGCGAGUGUGAGCUAAUCUCCAAAAGAUGUCUCAGUUCGGAUUGUUCUCUGCAACUCGAGAGCAUGAAGGCGGAAUCGCUAGUAAUCGCGGAUCAGCAUGCCGCGGUGAAUACGUUCCCAGGCCUUGUACACACCGCCCGUCACACCAUGGGAGUGGGUUGCAAAAGAAGUGGGUAGCAUAACCUUCGGGAGUGCGCUCACCACUUUGUGAUUCAUGACUGGGGUGAAGUCGUAACAAGGUAGCCGUAUCGGAAGGUGCGGCUGGAUCACCUCCUU